GGGUCAGUAGGUUGGUCGUGCCACCGGUACGUACUGGUCUCACUGAUUCCUCCUUCCUGAAGACCCGUAAUGCCAUUAAUUUGGUGUUGCGGGGAAACAGGACUGUUACUUUGAAAAAAUUAGAGUGUUUAAAGCAAGCUAACGCUUGAAUACAUUAGCAUGGAAUAAUGAAAUAGGACGAUCGAUCCUAUUUUGUUGGUUUCUAGGAUUGACGUA
rnacentral:rRNA from 1 species